ensembl:rRNA 5S_rRNA 5S ribosomal RNA
GUCUAUGGCCAUGCUACCCUGAACAAGCCCGAUCCCAUCUAAUCUUGGAAGCUAAGCAGAGUCGGUACUAGUUAGUACUUGGAUGGGAGACCACCUAAGCUAAGCAGGGUUGGUACUAGUUA